UGGCCCCUCCGCAAGUCGUUGACUUUUUGCGCUCCUGCUCCUGGGGUUGGGGGAGGUGAGUGCUGGCUAGAGCUGAAAAUAUGUGCAAAAACUUGGGAAAACUCGACUGCAAGCCAGGUGGGGGCAAAACCGAAUGCGAAUGCAAUCCAAACUUCAAAUAACAACAAGAAAAUGCUCGGCGAAAGCAAAACUCGGCACAAAGAGGGAGCUUCGGCGAAUAAAGAGCAAAAAGCAGCCGCAAAAAUAUUUAUAGAAAUUCGAAACAACAAAAACGCGGCCAGAGAAAAGAAAUUGAAAGCUCAAAAUGCACACAAGCGUAAAAAGCAAUAAAAAGAAAGCUGAGGCGAAUAUUUUCCACAGGA
rnacentral:sRNA from 1 species